AUGGAGACCUCCUGCUUGCUUUUCCUGUCGUCCGAAGUCCUGGCAAUUCCCCCGGUCCCGUAUUGCAGUGAAUCUCCGUUCGCAAUGGCCACAUUCGGUGCCGGGGCUGGGGGUUGCUGUGACAGACAAGUGCAAGUCAGGGGGUCCACGCUGUACCCCCAAAGACUUUGUGGAAUAUCAACGCUGAGCGGACACUGGUUUAAAGAUUCAUGUGUCCACGCACAAUUGUUGGGAUGCGAACUCCUUGAGUGCCCAGGAAUCCUUUGUUCUUGCUCUGUUUUGUUUUUGGUGACUCACUUUGGUCUGUGGGGAUCCUGCAGUCACCCUCACACUGCCGGACCCUCCAUGUGUUCCUGAGAUCGGUGUUCCUGUGCAGCUGGGACUGCUAAGGGAGUCUCUGUGGAACAGGUGGCUUGGAGCGAGCACUCUGACACGGCCUGUCUGGGAGAGGCAGAGCCCGCGGGAUUCCUGUCUGAGAGCUGUUCAAGACAUGGAAAACGUCCCAGGGUCUGUCUACUUUUGGGCUGUCUGCUGUGCAGUCCUGAACUGUAACCCUGGGAUUCUGAAAAGAAUGUCAACUCCGUGCUUGGAUUUUCUGGGAGUGUCUACAUUGUACAUAGUUCAACCAGUUUUUCUUUUGAACAAGCCCCAACUUCUUAGACAAUGUGUCUUGAUUUGAGGUUCAGAAAAUAUGGCCCCUCUGAAGCAGGUUCUGCCUGUUGCAGGGCUGGUUUUCCAAAUCAGUGACUGAGGCUGAAUGAGGCACACUUUCGGAGCUGGUGCAAGGACUACUUGGAUGUGGAAAUGGAAAUGGAAAGGGUAGAGGACACGGGAUAGAUUGUAAAUGUUCCAGGGAGAAGAACUGGCACAGGUAUUCUGAAGUCUGUGCUCAUCUCCCCGAUCCUAAAUUGCUCCAAGUUAAUUAAGAGAGAAAUUAAACUGAAAAAUGUAAAAGAAUCCUCAAAAUGCACCUAAGUGUCCUUCUUUGUCCUUUUUCAUCUCUCUACCCCACUCCAAAGCCCUUACUCAAACUAAGGAAAAAUUGGUUUUUGACACUGCCAAUGUCGUACCUUUAAGUGGUAUGAGAAAUACUCAUAGGCUAAGCAUGUUGCAUGGAACCUGGAACAGAAUGGACCCUAAAUAAGUGGAAGUCAUUCUUAGAAAGGUUAUUUUGCUGAUAAACCACCAGGCAAUGCGGGGAAAACACGAGGAGCUGUGUGAAGGCACCAGCUAUCUCUUGCCUGUUUUAACUCAUUUCCAGUGAAAGGCAGUACAUUCCCGUUGUACCUUCUUUGUAGCUCUCUGAAUGAAAUCUUAUUUUUUUCCUUAUUAACAUACCUUGAUUAGCACAGGUGUUUGUGUAUAGCCAUUAAACCAGAAUGCCUCACUGAAAUAAAAAAUUUGCUUGGUAUUCAUAACAGUCUUGUUAUUUUCCUGUUAGAGUUGAAAGAGAAUAUUGGUAUAAAGGUAGUAUUAUGACCCUCUGUGCUCUUGAACAGACACUCAAUAGUCUUCUUAAAAAUGGUCCUGGGUCCUCCUUGGUCUUGGAUCAAAGACGUGAGAUUUUUCCCAAAUUUAGUGGUGGAAUAGAUUUUUAUUCUCUACCCAUUUUUCAUUUUAUGAAGUAAAGUGUUAUACUGCAUAUUUUUUUUCAAUUUCUUGGACAUAAGAAAUCUAGAUUUUCUCCAAAAUUAGCACUUGAUAAUCUUUACCACCCACGGUUCUAUGUCCAUCACUGGAUGGUUCUGCAAAGCAGUUUAAGAGCUAUUUAUCUACUGGCGUGGAUGUGCCGUUACCUUUACAUAUUUACCUAAGCCAUCGUUUGCUUGCUUUCCCUCAGUUAUCGUAUUAGAAGUAAACUGCAGGAGCCCUGCCUGCAACAGUGCCGAGACAAUCUGCGGUGGAGAACAGUAAUGACGACUCUGUUAAGGUUCCACUUCUGCAGUUGGAGAUGUUGCUUGCUUAACGUUUCCACUGGUGCCCAUCUAAUAGCAGUGGGCCUCUUAUUUAAAGAGGAAGAGAGAAAAAGAAAGGCUCAGAGACAGCACAAAUGAGAGAGAGAAUGAGCUGGAAAUCGUUGGUGAUAAAGGAAUUGUUUGCCCAGCUUUCCAGAACUGAGAGAGAGCUUCACUUGGGACCGUAGUGCUGCCUAGCUGCUGGGGUCACAGUUCCACUUACUUCUGUUACAGUUAUGCUGUGGGGUUAGAGGGUGACCUUCCAGAACCCUUCUGGAUCCUCCCUCUGGGCACUGCUCUUCUUUUUCAGUACCAGUAAUGGUUCAAAAGGGCCCUCAGAUUCUAAUUUGGAGAAUGAGAGUCUGUGACAGUGACAGUUUCAGUGAGUUCUGCCCAGCUGUGUCACUGUUAACUUUUAAUGAACAUCUUUUCUUCCUCUGAAGAGUUUCAGCAAGUGAAAGUUUCGUGCGAGUUCUGCUUUUAUCUCCAUUUUAUGUGGGGUAAUAUGUGGUAAUUCUGGGGGCCUAACUUGGGGCACUCCCGAGCUAAUAACAUGAUUUUGCUUACGGUUACAUACCAGUAUAAGAUUUUUGUUUGAAAGCCUAGGUUGGAAUAUAUCUUGUAACUACAGUACACCAAAAAGCAAAGAGACUCACUCCCGCCCAGCCUGAACUCGGCCCCACUGUCCAUUUCAGGGCCCUCGGAUCCACAGAGAGCUCUGAGGGAGGCCCGC
rnacentral:lncRNA from 1 species